CCCGGUCUUGAUAGCGAAGGAGAUACACCCGUUCCCAUUCCGAACACGGAAGUUAAGCCCUUCAGCGCCGAUGGUACUGCAUGGGGGACCGUGUGGGAGAGUAGGUCAACGCCGGGU
rfam:Nitrospina gracilis 3/211 genomic scaffold, 2190_scaffold1